UGAACGCUAGCUACAGGCUUACCACAUGCAAGUCGCGGGGCAGCAUGGUCUUAGCUUGCUAAGGCCGAUGGCGACCGGCGCACGGGUGAGUAACACGUAUCCAACCUGCCGUCUACUCUUGGACAGCCUUCUGAAAGGAAGAUUAAUACAAGAUGGCAUCAUGAGUCCGCAUGUUCACAUGAUUAAAGGUAUUCCGGUAGACGAUGGGGAUGCGUUCCAUUAGAUAGUAGGCGGGGUAACGGCCCACCUAGUCUUCGAUGGAUAGGGGUUCUGAGAGGAAGGUCCCCCACAUUGGAACUGAGACACGGUCCAAACUCCUACGGGAGGCAGCAGUGAGGAAUAUUGGUCAAUGGGCGCAGGCCUGAACCAGCCAAGUAGCGUGAAGGAUGACUGCCCUAUGGGUUGUAAACUUCUUUUAUAAAGGAAUAAAGUCGGGUAUGUAUACCCGUUUGCAUGUACUUUAUGAAUAAGGAUCGGCUAACUCCGUG
rnacentral:rRNA from 1 species